UACGUAGGGGGCAAGCGUUGUCCGGAAUCAUUGGGCGUAAAGAGCGUGUAGGCGGCUCGAUAAGUCUGCUGUGAAAGUCCAGGGCUCAACCCUGGAAGGCCGGUGGAAACUGUCGGGCUAGAGUCCGGAAGAGGCGAGUGGAAUUCCCGGUGUAGCGGUGAAAUGCGCAGAUAUCGGGAAGAACACCCGUGGCGAAGGCGGCUCUCUGGAACGGUACUGACGCUGAGACGCGAAAGCGUGGGGAGCGAACAGG
rnacentral:rRNA from 1 species